GAUGAACGCUGGCGGCGUGCCUAAUACAUGCAAGUCGAGCGAACAGACGAGGAGCUUGCUCCUCUGACGUUAGCGGCGGACGGGUGAGUAACACGUGGAUAACCUAGCUAUAAGACUGGGAUAACUUCGGGAAACCGGAGCUAAUACCGGAUAAUAUAUUGAACCGCAUGGUUCAAUAGUGAAAGACGGUUUUGCUGUCACUUAUAGAUGGAUCCGCGCCGCAUUAGCUAGUUGGUAAGGUAACGGCUUACCAAGGCAACGAUGCGUAGCCGACCUGAGAGGGUGAUCGGCCACACUGGAACUGAGACACGGUCCAGACUCCUACGGGAGGCAGCAGUAGGGAAUCUUCCGCAAUGGGCGAAAGCCUGUCGGAGCAACGCCGCGUGAGUGAUGAAGGUCUUCGGAUCGUAAAACUCUGUUAUUAGGGAAGAACAAAUGUGUAAGUAACUAUGCACGUCUUGACGGUACCUAAUCAGAAAGCCACGGCUAACUACGUG
rnacentral:rRNA from 1 species